GACUAACGCUGGCGGCGUGCUUAACACAUGCAAGUCGAACGGAAAGGCCCUGCUUUUUUGGGGUGCUCGAGUGGCGAACGGGUGAGUAACACGUGAGUGACCUGCCCUUGACUUUUGGAUAACUUCAGGAAACUGGGGCUAAUACCGGAUAGGAGCUCCUUCUGCAUGGUGGGGGUUUGAAAGUUUCGGCGGUUGGGGAUGUACUCGCGGCUUAUCAGCUUGUUGUUGGGGUAGUGGCUUACCAAGUCUUUGACGGGUAGCCGGCCUGAGUGGGUGACCGGACACAUUGGGACUGAGAUACGGCCAAGACUCCAACGGGAGGAAGAAGAGGGGAAUAUUGAACAAUGGGCGGAAGCCUAAUGCAGCAAAGCCGCGUGCGGGAUGAAGGCCUUCGGAUUGUAAACCGCUUUCGCCUGUGAGGAAGCGUGAGUGACGGUAAUGGGUAAAGAAGCACCGGCUAACUACGUG
rnacentral:rRNA from 1 species